ACAGGUUUCAGAAGGCAUUGCCACACUUCAUUUGGUAACAGGACUUGUGUGCACUGAUUGUUCGCAGUUUGCCCUUUUCACACUUCGGAUCCAGAUGGGCUCUGUCUGUCCUUAUACUGGGAUUUGCAUCAUCUAGGUCCAUUUUGGAACUCCGCUUCCUUCAGUACUGCGGCUUCCUGUCUUCAUUUCCCAACACUCUGGGGUGAGCUCAGUGCCGAUGUGUCUUUCUUCUUUAAGACAACAGCUUCCUCUGGGGUGUUUGGAGAGAGCCUGGGGUCCCAGACUGCACCAGGCUGGAGCUGCGUGGUGAGCCGCCCACUCUGCAUGCCGUGAACCCUCUGAGCAACCUAAUUCCCAAUCUACUACCAUG
rnacentral:lncRNA from 1 species